GUUUGAGUGCCUCCUGGUGGUUAAAAUAUUUCAGAGGUUUGGUAUUUUGUCCCUGAGCGCCCGCCGUAGUUCAUCAGAAAACGAGGGAAACUAUUAAGGAUCUGCUCCUCCUUCAGUGAAGCUCCUCCCACAACAAUCACAUCAUCAGUGAAGCUCCUCCCACUGCAGUUCAGCAAUAAAUGCUGGAAUAUUCCCAUCAGUCUACAAGUGAAGACGAGCAUCAGAGCAUCAGGAAGAAGUGAAAUCUGCAGAGACAGAGUUCAUUGAAGGACAGAGAGAACAUGAGAGAUCCAGAACCCUGCAGAAUGAAACACACUGAAGAACAAACAGAUCUAAUGGAGGAGAAACAACAUCAUGUCAAAACUGGAGAAAAAAACUUGCUCACAGACUGAAAGUAUUUCUUUACUGAAAAGAAGAGACAAAAGCUUCACCUGCACUCAGUGUGGAAAGAGUUUCACACAAAAAGGAAACCUUAAGGACCACAUGAAGAUCCACACUGGAGAGAAACUGCAUGAAUGUAAUCAAUGUGGAAAAACAUUUUUGUGGGCUUCAAGCCUGAAGGAUCACCUGAAAGUUCAUUCAAAGGAGAAACCACAUUCAAGUUCUUUAUGUGGAAAGAGUUUUUCACAUCUGUAGAGUUUAAAAGUUCAUCAGAAGAUACACACUGGUGUGAGAGAUCAUAUGUGCUUUGAGUGUGCGAAGACUUUUAUUACAGCUGAAGAAUUGAAACGGCACCAGAGGAUUCACACUGGAGAGAAACCUUACAAGUGUUCACACUGCGACAAGAGAUUCAAUCAUUCAGGAAGCCUAAAAAAACAUGAGAGGAUCCACACUGGAGAGAAACCGUAUCACUGAACUGCAUGCGGGAAGAGUUUCAGUCAUUCUUCUUCUCUACGCAGGCAUAAAAUAAACUAUCACAUUAAGUAGUUUAUCUUCAGGUCCAACGCUUUCAAGUGCUACACCGCAUCUCUUCCAUAUUAAUCUGUCAUAAGAAACAUCAGUAACA